rnacentral:rRNA from 1 species
GAUGAACGCUGGCGGCGUGCUUAACACAUGCAAGUCGAACGAGCCUUCGGGCUAGUGGCGGACGGGUGAGUAACGCGUGGGAAUCUGCCCUCAGGAGGGGGAUAACGGCCGGAAACGGCCGCUAAUACCCCAUAUGCCGAGAGGUGAAAUGAAUUUCGCCUGAGGAUGAGCCCGCGUCUGAUUAGCUAGUUGGUGGGGUAAUGGCCCACCAAGGCGACGAUCAGUAGCUGGUCUGAGAGGAUGAUCAGCCACACUGGGACUGAGACACGGCCCAGACUCCUACGGGAGGCAGCAGUGGGGAAUUUUCCGCAAUGGGCGAAAGCCUGACGGAGCAACGCCGCGUGAGGGAUGAAGGCCUCUGGGCUGUAAACCUCUUUUCUCAAGGAAGAAGACAUGACGGUACUUGAGGAAUAAGCCACGGCUAAUUCCGUGCCAGCAGCCGCGGUAAUACGGGAGUGGCAAGCGUUAUCCGGAAUUAUU